UUGUCGUGCUCCGACGACAUCUCGGCCGCGACGACGUUACUGCGAUGGAUGUUGCGACAACGCUGUCGUGCUCCGACGACAUCGACGAAUGCUACGACGGAUGUUGCUUCGGUGGCUCGGGCUACUCUGACGAUGCUGCGACGGCUUGCUGCGACGGCGCCACCGUGCUGUGAGCCGGUGGCCAAGCCAUCGGAGCUGCUGUGACGGCGGAGUGCCCGUGAACUGAUGUUGCCGGCGUCCUGUGAUGCACUAGAGUUUGCUUCGCAUGCGAGAAAUGUGUGUGCGACGUUCUGCAAUGAGAAGAAAGAAGAGAGAAGACUAUGUUACGUUGACUUCCAUCGAAAGGCUAGGAAAGUCCAGAUCGUAUGGUCCAGAAGUUGUUUUGCUUUCCUGCAUCCGGAUGCCGCCUAGCAGCGGCCAAACCUAGCCCUGCUCUGUACCGCCACCCGACCUGCGCGCCGCUACCCCCGACCUGCGCACCGCCGGCACAACCCGCCCGCCGGUCCCCUCGCACCACCACCGACCCCCGGUCUCCCUUCACUUAGCCCGCAGUAGCAGAAGAGCCGUCCACGACGGAGGAGCAUCGUCCGCCACCGAGGAGCAGCAGCGCCAUCCGCCGCCAAGGAUCCCCCGCGCCGGGAAGUAGCAGGACCAUCCGCCCAAGGAUCCGCGGCCCCGACGGCUGCUGAAGUGCCGCCCGCCAUUCUUCUUCCAACAUAGGCAACGCCUGUCCCGGUUGACUCCAGUUACCUAGCACCUCCUCCAGAUCUUAACUGGUAGGAUGCAAAAAUUUCCAUGUGCUGGCUACAUAUCCAGUUAUAUCUGUUCAUGCCUGUGAUUUUUCUUCACGAGCUUUUCAUAUUUAGAACUUCAUAUACCAGAGAUGCAAAUUUGCAGAAACUGUAAUGUAGAUAUAGUAGUCCUGGAGAAAGACCGAACUCCAUAAUAUAUAGGUUAUUCUGUAUAUUUCCUAGUUUCAGUGAGCCAUCUGAAUCUCUUAAAAGCGUUUCAGUGUGCCUAUGAGAGUAGAACCACAUAAUGUUUCAUAGUACAAUGUUCAAUGUAUUUGUGGGCAUCAAGCUGUGAGUAAUAUAUUUGAUCAUUUUUCAACUCUGUAUGUGCAAUAAGACUAGCUAAGAGAGAAAAUUACAUUUCCUGCUAAAUGAUCAUCACUUAUACAUGACUUUUUGAAGCUGGGGUGUAUGGAAUCAGAUGGUAGACAAACUCAUUCUGCAAAUUGACUAUUAUUCAGAAUGGUGCCGUGAUUUGAUUUUGUCGUAUCGUAGUCCAACUUAUCUAGCAUUGCAGCAGCUGCCUACAUGAUGGGGGCCCCUGAACAUACCUGCGCCGUUUAUCUGUAAAAUCUGGUUCAACUUUUGCUGCUGUAUUUAGCUUGCUUGUCUCACAUGCGUGUUUCUUGAGUUCGAGUGACAAAGUAAAACUGAUUUGAUUUUAUUGGAGGUUCCCAACAUAGUUUUUCCUUUUUUCAUAAUUUUUUGUUAAACUGAUUUGAUUUUAUGCCCGCUCUACGUAUUGUGUUUCUUCUUAAUUUGACUCAGAUUCUGAUAUUGCCUACACCAGGGCACAAUGAUGAAUUCUAGGAAGGAUGCUCAUGCAAGGAAAGGCUAUGUUGUCUUAACAAGGAUGAAAAGUAUAACAACAUACACAAACCAACGUGGACAACCCAGAUCUGGACAGAUGGGACCUGGAAGAUACACCAGAAACAGAAGAAAAAGUUCUCAAAAUUGUGAGAGAGCGAUAUAGAGGCUGGCGAUCAACUGCAAGCUCCACUUACAAGGCAUACAAAACAGAUGCAGCUAGAUUGGCUAAUCUGCCGGAAGAUUUACAAUCAGAAGAGUGGGAAGGGAUGAUUGACUACUUUGUCACUGAUUCAUAAUUUCAGGAACGCAGCCGAAAGAACACUGGUAAUCGUAAGAAAUA